rnacentral:rRNA from 1 species
GACGACCGCUGGCGGCGUGCCUAAUCCAUGCAAGUAGAACGCAAUUGCGAACGGGUGAGUAACGCGUAGGUCACUGCCUGGUAGCGGGGGAUAACUAUUGGAAACGAUAGCUAAUACCGCAUACUACCAGAUGGACCUGCGUUGUAUUAUCUAGUUGGUGUGGUAGCGGCUUACCAAGGCGACGAUACAUAGCCGACCUGAGAGGGUGAGUGGCCACACUGGGACGGAGACACGGCCCAGACUCGUACGGUAGGCAGCAGUAGGGAAGCUUCGGCAAUGGACGGAAGUCUGACCGAGCAACGCCGCGUGAGUGAAGAAGGUUUUCGGAUCGUAAAGCUCUGUUGUAAGAGAAGCGGUAUCUUACCAGAAAGGGACGGCUAACUACGUGCCAGCAGCCGCGGUAAUUC